GGGCAGAGAGGGGAGCGCGGGAGAGGCGGCUGAGGAGCGCGGGCCCUGAGGCCGGGAGGCGAACGGCCCUCGAAGGCGAACCCGGGCCGACCGGGAGACAUCGGGGCCUGAUAGCUGAGACAUUCAGUCAACAGGAAAAUAUGAAUGAUUCGAGGCAGCAAUCAUUGUUCUUCAUCACAUCUCCGGAUUUACACAAACUCUGUGCUGUCAGGAUAAUACUGAGUAAUGGGGUGGCAGAUACUGAGAUUAGGAGUACGCAAAUGAAGAUGUGCAGGCAAUUGCUGUUUUUGCACCAAGAUAUUCUUACAUCACCUGUGCCUGGAAUAUUAAACCAAAUUUGGGUAGUGAUGGCGAUACCAUUUUAUAAAGCUGGAAAACUUAAUGCCUAUAUUGAAAAACACGGAGCUAAAGUGGAGGCUCCACAGAGAGUAAUCCCUGUAAUUCUUCAAAACUGCCUUUCAUACUCCCUCAUGGCUAGGCUUGCUCCAGCCUGGAAUAAAACUGGCCAUCUCUUGGUGCAAGGACGAGAAUUUCUUUCUCAGAUGGGAAAGCAAAGUGCUGUUGUAUUAGACAUCAAUGUAACUGAAACUCAAGUUUGUCUAAGUAUAGAAGCUUACACAAUCAGACUGCCACCACCUGAGCUAAGAGAAUUUGAUAUUUCUCAGAGUGUUAUAAAGGAUUUUGAUACUAACAAGAAUGCCAUCAUUGAAGGACGUUCAAUUUUAAGCAACUGGUGCUACGUUUUGCCAAGUAUGAAAAGGGGACAAAUAAUAAGUAUUCUUCACACCAUACCCCCUGACUGUCCUUUUCAUUCAUAUGAAGAUUUCCAGAUGCACUGGGAUGACCUGAUGACAACGAAACCAUGCUACUACACACAAGAACUAAUGAAGCCUCAUGUACAGGAAAACAAAGUCAAGGCGCCUAAUCUGACCACUAAACAAGUGUUUAGGUCCUCUCUGACUCAGGCCCCUUGCACCAGACCUGUCCUGGCUCAGUGUCUUGUACCAGGUUCAGGAGCCAUGAACCACAGGAUGGAGAUUCCAGGCAGCCAGCUGAAGAAAACCUGGGUGUCUUCAGCACUGCACCUCCAGCAGCAGUCUGUUCAGAGCGGAAAGAAAUCCCUGUCUGACAAGGCACCACAAGUACAUUUGGAAGCACCAAAGCCCAACACAGGAAACCUUCAAGUUCAAGGCACAGACUUAAGCUCCCAGAAUAAUACUGCCCCUACAUUCAUACCAGUUUUCAAAAAUCGAUCCUUGCAGAUGAAUAAAAAGAUCUUAGAACCUGGCAACCUGAAAAGGGAACAGCAUGUUGUUACAGAAUCUAAAUUCUUUUCACUUAAAACUAGUGUGAUCCAAAAUGACAAGCUGAAUUUAGAUCCAGCUAUUAAAAAAAGAUCUAAUCAUAACAUUCAGAUGAAUGCUAGAAAUUUAAAUCAGAAGAUUUCCAGACUUCUGCAAGGAAAAAAUACUGAGUCCUGUGAAAAUAUGACAAAAUAUCCCCCUUCUAAUGGAGAAUCACCAACUGUGAGUUUAAAUGAAAGUAAACACCUCUCUAAUAGUUCAGUAUCUCAUAUAUCAAAUAACAGUUUAGGUGUAAUAAAAAGUGCGGUUGACUUCCAAGUGAAUAGAAAAGAAAAUUUAACAAGGAAAUAUAUAACACAAAUUUUGGGGAAAGGCCGCGAAUCACUAAAAAUGAAAAAACCAUACAUUUUUGAAUCAGACACAGAAACAGAAGAUCCCCAACUACUGCAGCCACAAUCAAUAAAUCAGACUAUAAAAGCUGAUGUAAGUGACCACAAAUUGAUGAUAAGCAAAACAUCCCAGAGGUCUAAAAGAAGAUUGUGUCAAGAAUCUUCAAAAGCUUCAAAGAGACCUCAUUCCAAUACUAUCCAUUAUGGACAGUCCAGUUUUCCUAGGAGCAAGAUACAUGAUGUGGACAAAUCAAAAGUUCAGAAAUCUCUCAUCAUUCCUAAAACUUAGAACAUGGAUGUGAAGGAAGGACAUGACUACCAGAUAUUUGAUAACCCAGAUGGAAAUGGAGCUGUGUUUUGAUAAUGUGGAGGAGUAAGGGGAACAGAAAUGUAAAACACGAGUGCCUGCCAAAGCCCAGGAGCCUAACGGAGAUACCCACCUCACUCGGCAGUGGACGUGUUUCCUGGGACCCUGAAGACGGUGCCCAAGGUUAAGGGUUUUGUUCUUUAAAGAGAAAAAUAAAAUGGAAACAAUAAAAACAACCUUCACCCAGUGCAGAGGACUGAAGGGGCUUUUGUCUGGGACCAUAAGACGGUAAUACGGAGCUGUGGGUCGUAAGGAUUGCUUUCUGACAGUUCUCGGAAGGAUGGUGGAUGUCCAAGACUCUCAGUGUAACUGCGGCUUGAUGGCAGAGUGAGCUGCUUUACUGAGGUGUGUGGGAUGAGGUAAGGGCAGAGGGCACCCGAAAUGCAGCAGGAUAGCAUGGAACCAAGUGGUGGAAUCAGGUCAGACACUUUGCAAAGUUCCAAUUAGGCAUGGCUAGUGAAAUGAGCCGUGAAUCGAGCUUCAGUCUACAAUGGUCUUAUUGCAUGGUUUUUACCUUGUGGACCUCAGUUUUAAAGUCAAUUCGUGUGAGUUCUGAAAUUAGAAACUCGUUUAGAAUCUCUGCUUCCGACUUAGUUUUAUUCAACACACAUCCACGUAAUGAGGAUGCUGAGAGGUCGUCCCGAGGAAAAAAGCAAGGAGGGAAGUUCCGUGACAGCUGUGUGUGACCAAUAUGAGCCUAAGGCAUUCCUAUUUUUAUUUCGUGGAUUUGCUUCAGGGUUAAGUAUAAAGAACAACCGUGCAUGAGAAAGCUAUUCCUUUAUUAACGUGGAAAGCAAGUAUAAGUAACAAUACUGUGCGGUAGGAAGCGUUAUUAAGAAAUAGCCAUGUCCUAGCAUAUCACGUAAACUUCAAAGGGAGAGGAAAUGCCCCCACCUCUGCCCUCCCCCCCAAAGAAGACCCAGAGAAACAGGAAAUACGUAGUUACCAAAAAGCUACGUUGUUUGAGAAUGGGGUAUGGGGGAACAGAAUUCACAGUUACUGUCAGUAGUACAAGUUGGAGGGGGAGAGUCCGUGGGAAAUAGACUUCAUUCAGCAUUUCAGGAGCAUUAUUAGGAACCUCGCUUCCAGGGAGUCUCUCCUUCUGCUACUCGUGGCCCCUGGGAUCUCUUCCCACAGCCAAGCCAGUCUGGAAGCCCAGACACCCACGCAUCACGAGAGAGAUUAACGGUGGUUUUAAGCCACUGGGUUUCAGGGUUAGCGUGUCACACAGCAAGAGGUGACCCAUAGAGCAGGCCAGUUUGGAAAUGAGGACAAAGAACAGGGCUCACAAGCAAAACUGCCAGGCAAGCACCGAGAACAUGAACAUGACAGAUGUAAGCAAACAUCCAUGCAGAGCCACUGGGUUCUCACUGCAGUGCUCCCCAUGUGUGCAAGAGGAGGACAUUUCAUUGACGCAGAGCUGCGAGGCCUGGAGUCAGACGGCCCAGCACGUUGGGACACGUGUUUUUCUCACGCUCUGCUGCACAAUGGGAAACACCAAUCUAACUGUGCUGGGGGUGGGGGGGGGGGGUCAGCGGUGGCAGACCACCAGGUCCUUGUCCUUGGUGAUCGCCCGCCAGUAUUUCCAACACCAGUCCCUCCGGGGAAGCCUGUGGACCCCCUAAGCCAGGGUGGGCAACCCUCCCAGGCACCCCGGGACUUUUCAGUGUUGUGAUGGCCCUUUGACUCCCCUCCCUGGCCGUCUGCAGGGGAGGGGGGGUACUGACAUUCCCUGCCUGUACCUUGGAGCCACGUGGGGGGCGGGUGAUGCAAAGGGACCAGAUCCACUGGCCUGGACGAUCAGAGCACUUGGGGCAGCAAUCUCUCUGCUGAACCUCGUUGCUUCACGACGUGCAAGAUUUUCUUAACACGCGAUAUAAAAGAAGGAUUUAGAAGACAUGCUGAUGUGAUCCUUUUCAUGAGUAUCAGCGAUCUGCAAACACAUGCAGUGUUUCAAAACCUUUCUUCAAUUAGUAGUUCUCACUCUGUCCUCUGCCUCACUGCCCCCGUGUAAACUCGCUCCCUUUAGAACACGUGUGACUCCCCACAGUGAGUCUCUAGAUGGAGGGAGGGUUUGGCGGUGGUGCCUGGAGCUUUGACAUUUGAAAAGGCCCCUCAAGAGCCGAGGGGUAUAGGAGAGGAAUCCUUCCCCUCCCCUCUGUUUCCCUUGAGAAUCACUCUUAGUCGGGUGACGCCGGCACCCCCAAGUCCUCCCAGCUUACAGCACUGAGAACUAUUUGAGAAACCAGUGUAGGCUUCUCUCAGAAGCAGAAAGGCCUGUGUCCUCAGAGAUCAUGAGUCCAUCUGGUGUUCCCACAUUUCCGUGCUAACCUCACCCAGGCUGUGCGAAUGCCUUGUGGAUGAUGAAGAUGUCACAGGCCUGGCAGAGUGACUGCGGCCCACACGAUCUACCAGCUCCAGAGGUCCCUGUGAACUUGAGCGAGCUUGCUUUGGGCCCCGGUAUAAAUGGCAGGUAAUGAUUAUGACCCAGACUUUCAUGGCAUGUCUAUAAAACAAAGAGCUCCUAUGUUAUAAAAUUGAGGAAGCUCCGUGGUUUCCCACAGCAAUAAAUUCAGCUUGCCUUUUGCCUCCUCAGAACUGGCAUUAGGACUUUGUAAAAUAAAGUAAGCCACGCUAUAUAUGGGGCUGCUAAGAUGAAACAAAGGAAAGUAUUUUUAGCCCUAUUUCUCUUAAACCACAUUUACCACAUUUCAUUACUUUGCUGCCUACUAUUGCUCUGUGGUCCCUAAGGAAAUAACCAGAUGAAAUUGAGAAUAAAAACAACAUAAAGUAGGAUAUUCAAUACGCCAGGUUGCAUGUACCCAGUCGGGUCACACAAUGAUUAAAUUUAGCUCUAGUUAACCUGAUUUCAAGUGCAGUUCAAUCCUGGGGGCUAUGAGAAACAGAAUGCUUCUUCCACAUUAUCAGAAAAUAGUUAUAUUGAAACACAUGAGUCUGUGUGUCCCUUCCAUAUAAGAACAUUGACGUGCAUCAGACAGGUUCUCCUUUGAGAGACUGCUGAACGUUGUAUUUGCAGCAUCAACUUGACAGAGAUUUUAUUUGGCCAAAGAGAGCAUCAGCCCCGUGUCCCUCUCCACACAUGCAUACUACCUGCCACAUCUCUGCGCUGUUGUGCUCUAGGAAUGGGUAUAGGGUUCCAUCUGGGUGUUGGGAACCAUGACAUUUCUGAUAGGCAGCUCCAUUUAGACUUAGCAUCCCCAGACUUUUCAACUUUGAAUGUAUUGUAUCAUUGUUUGAAAAGAGGCCCCAGAGUGUAAACCAUCUGUAUAGGUCAGAAGGAAGAAUUUUCAGAUAUUUAAAGUUAAUUAUAUAACAAGGCUGUGUAAUUUCUUCCUGGGGAGAGGGAGAGUGGGAUUUCCAAAUCAAACUGGUUCACUUUUGCCUGGACUGGUUUUAAUUAACUGGCAAUUUUCUGGAAAGUAUGGAGAUAGACCAGAUGUCCUCUCAAGGUCCCUUCAAAUCAGCCUGCUCUUUGCUGAGUGAUAGAAUGUAAGAACAGAAGGAGGUCCAGUCCAUUCCCUUCACUCAACAGUGAGGGAACCAAGAUACACAGAGUGAGCGUAGUUCACAUUAUUAUUAUAAUUAUAAGGAAAAAAUAAUGCCGUUGCUUUACAGUCCCAUCUUGCUCUUUUUUUUUUUUUUUUAAAGAAAGAGCAUGCAUGCAGGACAGAGAGAGAAUCCUAAGCAGGCUCCAUGCUCAUUGUGGAGUCCCACGUGGCAUUCAGUCUCACAACCAUGAGAUCAUGACCUGAGUUGAAAUCAAGAGUUGGACGCCCAACCAACUGAGCCACUCAGGCGCCUCCCCAUCUUAAAAAAACUUAAACUUAAAAAACUUAAACUUAAAAAAACUUUUUUCAUAAAGAAAUACCCUGAACUCAAAAGCAUUUAUAUACACAUGCAACUUAAAGAUUAAAAAUAAAGCAAAGACCUUAUCCUACCGUCCAAGUUCAGAGACACAGCCUCACUUGUACUCCAGGAAGGGAAGUAACCACCCCCCUGAAUACUUUGUUAAUCUUUUAUUUAUAGUUUUUCUUUAUAGUUUUACCACAUAUGUGGCUAUAUCCCCAUACAAUAUAUUUGUAGGUUGUGUGGGUUGAUUCAACACCAAGUGCAUCCUCUGUGACUUCUUUCUCACAUUCAUCAUUAUGAUUUGAGGUCCAACCAGGCUGAUGCCCUGUUCUUGUCUAUUUCUUUUCCUUUUGCUGUACUACCCCAUUGCAUGAACAUACCACAGUCUAUCCAUUCCACCAUUGAUGGACUUUGGAUUCUUUCCAGUUGGCAUUUUUCUUUGUUGUUGUUUUUUUUAUUUGUUUUGUGUAUGAUUUGCAUAUGUGCAAGUUUCUCAGGCUCUGGAGUUGACACGUGAAAGGAGAGCCAACUUUAAAUUGGAAAAUGACAUUUGAGUUGAGUCUUGGGUGGUGGGAAGGAGGCAGUCAUGUGAAGCUUGGGAGCAGAAUGUCCUGAGGGGGAGAAACAACAAACACAAAGGCUCUAGGGUGAGAGAUCGUGGAGUAGUAGAGGAAGGGCAAGACGGCCCAGGUGGCGAGUGUAUGAGAGCCAUGGGUGAGCGGUAGGAGAUGAGAUCUAAGAGAGAGCAGAAGCCACAUGGUUUAGACACCAUGGCAAGGUAGAUGUGUGGGAGGCUGGCAAACAGGCCACUCAGGGUGAUGUGUGGAGAAUGGGUGGAUCAUAUAUGGACAAGACAUCAGGUCAUUCUGAUGUCAUCUAGGUCACCCAAGUGAGACCUGGCGAAGGCUUAGAUAAGAAAAGGAGUGGAGGUGGAGAGACAGACUGAACUCAGAAAUAUUUUGGACAUAGACACAUGAACUUCUUAGUAGGUUGGAUGUGAAGGUGAGAAACAGAGAAGUCAGCUUGAGUCCUACAUUUUUUCCUUAAAAAAGCAGCAACUCAUGGAAUUUACUGAGAUGCAGAAGGCCAGAGGAAGGACAGACGUAUUUUCAAGACAUGGAGAAAAUAAAUGUUUUUGUUUUAGCAGCAUUAGGCUGGAGAUGCCUAAAAGACAUCUGAGGGAAAGUAUCAGGUAGGCAGUUCAUCUGCGAAUCUGGAGAAAGGUCUGGCCUAGGGAGGUAUGUCUGCAGUCACCAGCAUUAUCGCUGGUAGUUAAAAUCCUGGUAGAAAAUAAGAUUACCCACACAAGGUGUUGAAGGGAAGAGGUCCGAGUUCUGGCCCUAGGGUACCCCCAACAUUCUUGCACAAACUGAAGGAGAAGAGCCACCAAAGAAUGUGGAAGUAAGGGAACCAAAAAGGUUGGUAUUGUGGGACCCAAGAGAUGGGACUGUUUCUCGAAGGAAGGUAUGCUCGACUGAAUGGUGCCAAAAGGUGAAGUACAAUUGAGGACAGAGAAAUGCACAGACGCACAGACAUGUGGUCACCUUCAAAAAUCCCUUUUCCCUGAGGGGUGGGGCCACACCCUCCCAGAGCAGAUGCAAGUAAAAACGAGAUAAGGAAGUGGAGGCCAAAUCUAGGACCAGAUAAAGGGGAAUCGGUCAGCAACGGGUACAGAGAGGGCAGCUGGGGAGGGUAUGGGGUGAGAAGGGCUUUUCUUUGUGCAAGAUGGAGGGUACUAGAGAGUGUCUGCACCUUGAUGGCAUGGGUUCUCCAGUGGGGACCUCUGAGGUAGCAGGAGUGUCCUUGAGAAAGUGAGAGGGGCUCCAAACACAAGAGGAGAAGCUGACCUGUGAUUUGAGCAGAGGGGCUCGUGAAGAUUAAUAUUCAGAGUGCUCACCACCAAAAAGCUUAUAACAGUAAAUACUUAGAAACCAACAUGUCCAGCAGUAGGAGAAGAGUUUCCUAGAAGUUAUAGCAGAUCUGCAAAAUGGAAGGUUACGCAAAUCGCUCUUGGGGGUCCUGUGUGCACACAAGUGAUCUACAGAAACAUACAUUCGAAUUUUGAAAGGGAAAAUACACAUCGGUAUUACAUGUGUGAAAACUUCUGAAAGGAAAAUGCAUCGGAACAUGACCAGUGGCUACUUUGCGUACUGUUUUGGGUGAUCUUUCUCUUUCAUAUACCUUUUUAAAAUGUCCCCAGUGUUUAUAAUGAACAUGAAUUACUGGUAUUUUUAGGAAAAAGACAAAUCAUGUUAGUAUUUUGAUGUAGCAACUCACAGCAUUUUCUCUUUUGGCCAGACAGCCAUUUCCUCUUGCUUGAAAUGUGCAAAAAUAUCACAGGACUGAUACUGUUUAAAUUUAGGUUAAUUCUACGUUGGUUUUCCUUUUUUACUCUUAUCUGUUGCAUCUCCUCAUGGUGUUAGGCAUGUUUCACUCUGACAUGUGCCAAGUUGUUGCCUAUGCUCUUUCUAGAGCACUGGGCGAUCGCCCAGAUACUUCUAAAUAGUCCUGCCAGGAAACAUAACAGGAAUAUUGCCAGUGAAGUCACCCAGCACGUUAGCGAUAUGAAGAUGGAGAAAUAGGAGGGCCCUGGAGCCUUUUAGGAAACCCCAAUAACUCAUUUAAUCGAGAAAUUGCAGCUUCGAGCAGUUGAAACCACAAGAGCAGAUCAGUUUUCCCAAUGGAGAAUAUUUCAGUAACUGCUGGAGCCAGGCUAAGUAUAUGCUUCCCAGGAACCACGCAGAUUCCCAAAUAGAAUUCAGAGCUGUCGUCAAGCUGGAAGCGCAAGUGGAUACCAGGAAACAACUGAUGUUGACCACAAGCCAUAAUCCAAAAAUCCUGACCUCAUCAACAUGGAACCACAAAUGUAGUGGUAUAUUUCCACUAAAAUAGGAGUUCAUUCAUUUGCCACAUAUUUAUUCAGCACCUACCAUGUGCAGGAGCUACGCUAGGGGCCUGAUACACAAUAUCACAUGUAAAAGCCACAGUUGCUGCUUCCCCGUCCAGUGGAGAAGAUUCACAAAUUCGACACGCUGUGAGAAUGCGUCAAAUGCUACCACAAAGGAAGCACAAUGAACUUUCAUGGAAGCAAUAGCAGGGGCAUGGCUUCCAGAAAGAAGGGAAGUUUAAGCUAGGAUAUUUCUAUGGGUGAGAAUUAGUGGUGUGAACUGGAGGUGUGUGGGCAGAGGAACUGUGUUUGUGUGUGUGUGUGUGUGUGUGUGUGUGUGUGUGUGUGUGUGUGAAGACCCAGAGGAAGGCAGGAGAACCCCAAGGAGCCAGAGAAAGUUGGCAGAUCUGGAAUGCAAGGCAGGAGGAGCAGUGAGAGCAGCUGGGCAGGAGGGACUGGAGAUUUAGGUGGGAGGAACACAAGACUGGAGGCGGGGGAUCAUGUAGGGACUCAGUGGCAUGAUGCAGAGAAAUACACUGGUUAAGAGACAUCCAGGAAGUACAGCUGCCAGGACUUAGUGCUUAACUGAUAUAAUGGAAGCUUAGAUCACAGCAUCCAAUCUUUCUCUUUUCUAAUAUAAGCAUUCAGUGCUAUUCCUGUCCCUCUAAGCACUGCUUUAGCUGCAUCCCACAAUUUUCACAUGUUGUGUUUUUAUCUUCAUUCAGCUUAAAAUACUUUCAAAUUCUAUUUAGAAGCUUGCUCCCUAAUUUGCAAAUAUUUGUGGCUUUGGCAGGUCUCUUUCUGUCAUUGUUUUCUAAUUCAAUGCUACUGUCGUCAUUCAUUUUAAAUGUAUUUACCAAGACUUGUUUUGUAGCCUAGUAUAUGGUCUGUGUACUGGGCCCCAAACCCAGUUGAUUCCCUUCCCUUUUUUAUCUGACUUUACCUUGCCUUACAUGACUUAUUCUUUGCCUUUUUCUUUUUCAAUCCUUCAGUGCAUAGGAGUGACGAGAAGGUCAGGCCUGCACGCAUUUCCUGCCGUCUGCGGAUUUUUUUUCUCGACACUGCCUGUGAGGAAUUAUGCACAAACUCCACAAAAGCCACUGGCCCUGCUCCUGUCACAUCACCACCCAGGAGCCACCAGCUGCUAACGGUUGCCAGGGCCCCAGCCAUCAUCACGGAGGACUUCGGCCGUAAGAUCGUUCUCUAAAUGUCACUGUCUACCCCCUCACCGUGCAAGUUCUUUAGUCUGUGCCGGUGCCUUAAAAGCUUCUGCUGGCUUUGUGUUGAGCAAGCCUCGUCUGUACUCCAGGUGGAUCUGGUAGUUUGAUCGGCGCAAGGUAAGACGCGGGAGCCUGGACUGUUUAUUCUGGAAGAAAUCCAGAAAAGACAAUGUGUUUUUGGGAAAGAGUGGUGGAAAUUACUGCAGAGGAACUGGCAUCCACGGGGCCGGCCCCGGAGGCCGCUUCCUCAGCCCUUGAGAGCAGAGUCAUCGCCCCAAAUGUGGACAGUAUGGAGGCUGGGAGACCCCGAGCCAGCCAAGCUACGGGGGGCUUCCUGACCAUGGGCUCCGGGCGGUGACGGCGCUGCAAGACCUGUGCUUUCUGUAACCCAGAGUCACAAGAGCCCGGGGCCUCUUUCACAGGGUGUGUUCACACGGGAAAAGGCUUGAACUCUCAGCACACCCAGUGAAGCCUAGUGAGUGGCCCAGCCAGCAGUGCUGGACCAGUGCAGGCGUUCCCCCUGGGGUGGUUGAGGGGCCGGAGGGAAGCCUCCGGAAACGGACAGGAUGCCGGAAGGUUACAGGUGUAUCCGGUCGCUGACCCGAGUGGGGGUGGUGAGGAGACGCUGCAGGGCAGAGGGUGUAAAGGUGGGCUGGGGUCCAAAUAGGGGGGCCCUGAAGGGGCUCUGGACUUUAUGGGUACCUGGUAACUUUGUAAAGUCAAGGGCAAAAGGAAGAAGGAAGACGUGGGUCUCAACUUCCCCUCCACCCCAGUCAUGUGGCCCCUACCGCUUCUAUUUCACAGGCUGCUGCUUUCCCUGUAGACACCGAAAAGUAGACUUUCUCACUCUCCCGGCAAGAGACCGCAGUGCAGGAAAAUAAAGAUGUUUUCCACAGUGGGAGCUGCCAGUGGGGGACUGCUGUCCCCAGAACCCCGCAUUCCAUCCUCCAACAAAUACUGACUGGGGGUCUACCGUGUUCCAGGGGCUUCCAACGCUAGUUCCUUAGGGAAUCAAAUCUCUGGUGCCAGGUGAAAACGAGCCUGACCUGCAAUCCGGGACCUCGAGAAACCUGCCAACAAAGACACCUGUGGCUUGGGGGAGCUCCCGGAGCCGCCACAAGAGCAGGUGAGUCUGGCGUCCCUGCCUGUGGCUGGAGAACACAGGCGAGCCGUGGGCCCGUGGGGGCCGAGCUUGGGAGCCAAGCCCCGGCCCCAGGGGGUUGUUACUGGGACAUGGUCACUAGGCCGCGCCACCGGCUCCUUGCGAGCUUGCAGACCACAGACGCAGCACAGGCCGGAGCUGUUGGCGCAUCAGACCCUGGAUGCGAGUAACCCCGAACCCCGAGUCCAGCCUCGGGUCGCGCGCCCACUGGUCAGUGCAGGCUGCCGUGCCGCGGGAAAAGCCAAGCCGAACGGAUCGCGCUCCCGACGGAGGCGCAAAGGACGCACAUGGCCACGUCCACGGCGCCCACGCAAGGACCGGCUGCUGGUGUGAGGUCACCGUACAAACCGAGGAGCGGCGCCUUCCUUAUACUCGGGGGACCAAACCCAGGGAACAAGGAGGAGGGAAGAAACGUCGCCCCAGGACUCAUGCAGCUAACUGCAGGUGCAGCCGCGGCCCGGCUUCCAGGGACUCGAGGUCCUGACUCUCCACUCCCCAGUGAGUCUGACCUCCUGUGCUCUGCAGGGUGCAAACAGCUGUCCUGCGGGGCACCACGCACAGCUGAGAGCAGAUUCUCCUUCAUACCGAAGAGAAGAUUAAAGGCCAAGACAAUAGACUGGCGACUCAACAAAUAUUUAUUGAAUUAAUUAUUAUUUACUGAUGAAUUAAUUAUAACUUUAUCAGAUAAGAAGACUGAUGGUUAUGGGUCAGCGUGGC